ACCAGGGCUUAAAUGCAGUACGACAGGUCUAGAGAUAGACUUUUCUUCGGACGGAUUGCAAGGUGCUGCAUGGUUGUCGUCAGCUCGUGCCGUGAGGUGUCAGGUUAAGUCCUAUAACGAGCGCAACCCCUGUUGUUAGUUGCCAGCGAGUCAAGUCGGGAACUCUAACAAGACUGCCGGUGCAAACCGUGAGGAAGGUGGGGACGACGUCAAAUCAUCACGGCCCUUACGUCCUGGGCUACACACGUGCUACAAUGGCCGGUACAGAGGGAAGCCACCCCGCAAGGGGGCGCGGAUCUACAAAACCGGUCACAGUUCGGAUCGGGGUCUGCAACUCGACCCCGUGAAGCUGGAAUCGCUAGUAAUCGGAUAUCAGCCAUGAUCCGGUGAAUACGUUCCCGGGCCUUGUACACACCGCCCGUCAAGCCAUGGAAGCCGGGAGUGCCUGAAGUCCGUCACCGCAAGGAGCGGCCUAGGGCAAAAUCGGUAACUAGGGCUAAGUCGUAACAAGGUAGCCGUACCGGAAGGUGCGGCUGGAACACCUCCUUU
rnacentral:rRNA from 1 species